GAUGUUUUGCUGCUACAGCUGUGUGGAGGAAAUGAGACUGAAAAAAAAUUUUCUGUGUGAAAACCUGUAGAAGUUGACUUCAAAGAGAGAGCUGUCCAUGAAACAUGAAUGCAGCAGAGAUGUUCCACAGGGAUAUUUCAGCUACCAGGAAUAUGAACUGUUGUGAGCACCUCCCCUCUCAGAUUUGCACAGAUGGAGAUGCAUUGACUCAAAACAGAAGGAUUUUGAUAAGCAGAUAUUAGCUUCAGUCAGAGCUGAGUAAAGAGGAAAAAAAAGCUUCAUUACGAACAUCAACAUCACCCCAGCAAGGGAAAUACCACCAGCCACAAGUAGAGAGGCCGGGUGCCGAAUUCUCAGCAGUUUUUACCAGAACGGGGCUGCUGCACAAGAGACCCUGGUGAGGUAACAGAGGUAGUGGGUGACCGUGAGGCAACUUCAUAACUGACAUGUCUGACGACUCGUAAAGGUUGCAUCCUGAGGAGAUAAGCCCGUUUCCCAGGUUCCUCUGCAGAGAGACUUUCAGCUUGUCAGCAUUGUCACUGAUGUCGAACUUCUCGAUCUCCUCGUUGAUUCUGUUCAGGUCCUCCAUGGAGAGGCCGGAGGCCGGGGCGACGGGGCAGUUGCCCUUCAGGUGGACCUGGAGGCUGCAGAGGCCUUAUUAAAAUACUGCUCAGAUGACGUAUGAACAAGCCAAAACAAUUCUCCUCCAAUGGAAUAAAAACAUUCUCACAGCACACAGAGAUGAGAACUAAGCUUCAGCCUUUUCCUUUUGUUGAGGCUUCAGUUUGAGAAGAAGGAGCCAAAGCUGUCUUGGCCUGCUAUCAGGAGGGCAAGAAGGUUUUGUGAGAGGGUGGACUACAGAUAUUCCCUUCGUGGUCACCAUCAGCCUUCCCAUCACACUUCUGAGAAAUAGGGUCUUGGGAAAGGCAGGGAUGGUAGUCAAGCCCAUAAUAGAGCCUAUAUAAGAACACUUUUAUUGUCUUUGCAUGUUUCUAUCAACAUGUUUAUACUGGACAAGAAAAACUGAGUACAAAUUCUACCUUUCAUGUCCCAACCUUGGAGUUUUGAAUAUUCUGUCUGUUGUAACUGAAUCUGAGGGAAAAUUAAUGACAACUGGCCAACCCAUUCCAACUACUUUAACUACUUUCCAACCUUGCUGGUGACAAGAGGACAGAAAAAAGAGUAUGCUUUGGAAAAUUUUCAUUUAAAAUAGGCUGACUUCCAGACUGUCAUGGAGGAGGGAUGAGAUGGUAUGCAUAUAUUAGAAGGCUCACUCUUGUGAAUACUUCAGACAUUAGCCUCAUAACAAACUCACAACAAGCUGAAAUAAUGAAGUCACCUCAGAAUUAAUUGUAUUAUUUCCACUUUCAUGUCUCUUCCCAACUUGGCAGUCAUGACACUUUUUGGAGUAUACUCUCCUCAACCUGCCUGGUAAGACACAGUGAUAUGAACAAUGAUGAAACUUCAGACUGUGCUCCUGCACAGUUCAGUUCGCAUGUCAGACACUCUCCGGACUGCCCAAUCUCCUGGAGCUGAUGAACACAGAGGAAGGAGGGCAAGAUCCAUGGGUGGAACCACGCCACUUUUCUGACAAAGAGCUGGCCACAGAGUGCAUUUCAAAACAGAUUAACAAAAACAACAGCUACACACCAUGACAAAGUGCAUGUGGUGGAAAUGAAAAUAUUUACCCACAGAUUAUCACACAUCCAGCAGUGUGACUACCGUGCACUGAGGACCAAAAGACUCAAAAUAGUGACUGUAUGUUUAGAGUUGAUUAGGGAAUCUGGAAGGGUUGGUCUGUAGUACCACUUUUUAAGCUUCUAAGAGUACAGUUGUCAUUUCUCCACCUCUCCUACCCCAGGGUGGUGAAAUAACAGUCUUUUCAUACCUGUGUGUUGGCUGGGGGAGGGAAGAAUUCCUCUGCUAUUAAACACAACUUCUCAUUAAAUAGUUGACACCUUAUCCUUCUUUAAAUGUUGUAAUGUUUACUUUGCAAAACCCAGGAAAGCUUUUAAAAUAAAGAUAGCAGAGAGAUUCUUAAGCCGGGUGUCCUUGCUUAUCUGCUCUUUAUCAACCAUCUAUUGUUUCUAGAGGAGCUCGUUGGGGAAGGUGGAGCAAAGGGGGUUAAUGUUCAAUAGGUAUCUAUCAGUUCCCCUGAAGGAAUAGUGCUGCUGACAGAAGAGCAACACUGGGCUCUCAGCUACUUCCUGCAAAUGUGACAAACCAGAAAGGGGGGAAAAACCCAAAACAACUGAGGGCUGCAGCCACUUCUUCUCUUUUUAUUUUCCUUUUUUUUCCCCCUCCCUCUCCCAAAACAACUAGUUUUAAGAAAUACAUUGUCCUUAGGAGAGAUAAUCCCACAAUAGAGAGUCCAUUAGAGGUAUUAAAGCAUUGGCAGUGCCUGAUCUACAAGAAGGGCUCUGUCCUGACAAUAGACAAUUAAAGCUGAUAAAUCUGCACUACUUGUUGCCGUUCUAAUUCCUCGUAAUUGUAUGCUACUUGUCCCUGCCUCCUGCGUCCAGGGAUGAAGCAUGCUUCUUUAAUCUCCAGAGUACCUGACCUAGUUCCUAUGUGGUCUUUUCAGGACCUGUUUUCUUCCCAUCUGGACUUCUUCCCUCCUACUCUCCUUUCCUGCUUCUCUGCCCUAAGCAUUAAGAAGAGGUUACGGUAGAGGGCACAGAAAACACCAGAGCACAGCACCCGGAUCAAUAAUUCUGGAGCCCCAGACAAUGCACUAAUCUGCAAUAACAGCUAAUCAUGGUCAAUUUGGCACACCAGUGAUUAAACUGUACUUUUCAUUAGGCUCAACAAGUAGAGCAGACGCACGCUGACAAUUCAAAUUGCCCUAUCAGUAAGAGCUGCCAAACUCAUGUGCACUUCUGCAUUUGUAGCUGCUGCAUCACUAGACUUGCCAGGCUAGGUGCUUUGUGGGGGCUUACCUGUUUUCUUUUGGUAUUUUAUGAACUGGGACUCUCAGCUGUGUUUUCUAUAAAAAGCAAGCCCUUUCCUCAUUCCACUGCCACAAGUUCUCUUACUUAAAGGGUUCAGUGGGUGAAACUGUGAUAUGCAGGAUGCUGAAAAAUUAUCAUUACAAUUGCAUGUUCCCUCCUGGU